GUGUUCGCUUCGGCAGCACUGAUAUUAAAACUGGAACGAUACAGGGGUUAGCAUGGCCCUGCGCAAGGACGACACGCAAAUUCAUGAAGUGUUCCAUAUUAAA